rnacentral:rRNA from 1 species
UACGGAGGGUGCAAGCGUUGCUCGGAAUUAUUGGGCGUAAAGGGUAGGUAGGUGGUCUCAUUUGUCUGGGGUGAAAGCCUUGAGCUUAACUCAAGAAGUGCCCCAGAAACGGUGAGACUGGAGUCCUGGAGAGGGUCGUGGAAUUCCCGGUGUAGCGGUGAAAUGCGUAGAGAUCGGGAGGAACACCAGAGGCGAAAGCGCUCUACUGGACUGCAACUGACACUCAGGGACGAAAGCUAGGGGAGCGAAUGGG